AUAGCGUAUAUUAAAGUUGUUGCAGUUAAAAAGCUCGUAGUUGAACUUCAGACCUGGCUGGGCGGUCGGCUUAUCGGCUAGUACUGUCCGGCUGGGCCUUACUUCUUGGUGAGCUGGUGUGCCCUUUAUUGGGUGCGUCGGUGAACCAGGACCUUUACCUUGAGAAAAUUAGAGUGUUCAAAGCAGGCCUAUGCCCGAAUACAUUAGCAUGGAAUAAUAAAAUAGGACGUGCGGUUCUAUUUUGUUGGUUUCUAGAGUCGCCGUAAUGAUUAAUAGGGAUAGUUGGGGGCAUUGGUAUUGAGUCGCUAGAGGUGAAAUUCUUGGAUUGACUCAAGACCAACUAUUG
rnacentral:rRNA from 1 species